AGCGAACGCUGGCGGCAGGCUUAACACAUGCAAGUCGAACGGGCACUUCGGUGCUAGUGGCAGACGGGUGAGUAACACGUGGGAACGUACCUUUCGGUUCGGAAUAAUACAGGGAAACUUGUACUAAUACCGGAUACGCCCUUCGGGGGAAAGAUUUAUCGCCGAUAGAUCGGCCCGCGUCUGAUUAGCUAGUUGGUGAGGUAACGGCUCACCAAGGCGACGAUCAGUAGCUGGUCUGAGAGGAUGAUCAGCCACACUGGGACUGAGACACGGCCCAGACUCCUACGGGAGGCAGCAGUGGGGAAUAUUGGACAAUGGGCGCAAGCCUGAUCCAGCCAUGCCGCGUGAGUGAUGAAGGCCUUAGGGUUGUAAAGCUCUUUUGUCCGGGAAGAUAAUGACUGUACCGGAAGAAUAAGCCCCGGCUAACUUCGUGCCAGCCGCCGCCGUAAUAC
rnacentral:rRNA from 1 species